AUGUCUUCCUCCAGCGCCGCCCCAAGCAAUCUCGGUCAGGUCAUGGAGAAGCUCUCCCGGACGAACUACGUCCUGUGGCGAACUCAGGUUACGCCGCAGCUGAGGGGAGCUGGGCUCUUCAGCUACGUUGAUGGAACGAUGUCGGAACCCACCCGCCUCCUCGUCACCAAGGACAAGGACGGCAAGGAGUCGUCUGAGCUCAACCCUCUCCAUCCCAUCUGGGUGAAGGAGGAUCAACAAGUGCUCGGCUACCUCCUCAACAACCUCUCCAAGGAAGUGUUGAUCACGGUGACCACGGUCACCACCGCGCAUGCCCUCUGGGUGGCGCUUGCAGGCAUGUUUUCUUCUCAAUCUUUGAGCCGUGUAAACAAUAUUCGCACUGCCUUGAUCAAUGCACAGAAGGGCACCCAAUCGGUUGCUGCAUAUUACGCUCAUAUGCGUGGCUUUGCGAUGAACUCGCCGCGGCCGGCAAGCCCAUCCAGGACGAUGAGCUCAUCUCCUACCUGCUGCAUGGGCUGGAUAUGGACUACCAGCCUCUCGUCUCCGCCCUCGAUGCCCGUGUCACGCCGGUCUCCAUCGACGAGUUGUACUCCAUGCUGA
rnacentral:rRNA from 1 species